CGUAGGGGGCGAGCGUUGUCCGGAAUCAUUGGGCGUAAAGAGCUCGUAGGCGGCUCAGUAAGUCGGGUGUGAAACCCCCAGGCUCAACCUGGGGACGCCACCCGAUACUGCUGUGGCUAGAGUCCAGUAGGGGAGUGUGGAAUUCCCGGUGUAGCGGUGAAAUGCGCAGAUAUCGGGAGGAACACCAGCGGCGAAGGCGGCACUCUGGGCUGGAACUGAUGCUGAGGAGCGAAAGCGUGGGUAGCAAACAGGAUUAGAUACCCUGGUAGUCCACGCCGUAAACGUUGGGCACUAGGUGUGGGGACCCUCCAACGGUCUCCGUGCCGUUAGCUAACGCAUUAAGCGCCCCGCCUGGGGAGUACGGCCGCAAGGCUA
rnacentral:rRNA from 1 species